CUGUCAUAGCUGGCCCCAGUCUCCACAUAACUCAUACAAGUGCCAGCCCUCUUAAGGAUGGAGGUUACCUGGGAAACCAGCACAUGGGGAUCCUGAAGGUUUGGGGAAACUGCCACGGCCAAGCCCUCUCUAUACAAACAUAAACCAUGCCCUUCGUUACAGUAUAGGUAUAAGAUGAUAACGGUGAAGAAAUCCAAAAUUCAAGGACUGCUUAGAAGCUUGUUUCAAGUUGUCCGCGCAGUUCUUCCUCCUCUGCAAAGAUUGUCACAGUGUUGGUGGCUCUGCCAGCUGUUCCUGUGGCCACCCACCUGCCACACCCUUGCUCUUUGUGACUCAGCGAAGUUGGCUUCCUCUCUGAGACAGAGUUCAGAAGGGCCACUGAAUGUGACCCCCACCCCCCGCCCCCACCAGCCUGGAAGGCUGGAAGCAAAUCAUGGGCCUGGCAUAUUUCAAUGCAAGUAAAUUACAUUCUGUCAGCCUCAUUGCCUUGAAUUUCACGGCAAAUGUGGGACAUUGAACGGCUGGCAUUUGACAAUCAAGAGAGAGGGAGAGAGAGAGAGAGACAGAAGAAAAAAAAAAGGCUACCGCCUUAUUAAUGCAAACAAUCUCCGAUCCAAAUGGCUGCGGGUGAGGAGGGGCUGUUAUUUCCAUAGAGGCGACUGCUGUUUUUUUCUUUCUGUUGAUGCUAAUUUCUCAGAAAAAUGUAAGGUA